AAAAAUGGCCACCGCACAUGCUCAAAUGGUGUCUGCAAGACCCAAGUUUAGAUUUUUCCCUGAUCUAGGGAGUCGGAAGAAUGCAAAUUUGUUGGCAAGGGACCCGAGCAUUUAAAAAACAGAUAUAAAUGGCACAAAACCUGACAAUCUGGAGAAGUGUGGCAGGGUCAAGCUUCCACUCAUGAGAGGAUGAGGGAAUCCUGCUGAGACGGUCUGCCCAGAUAUUAGAGCUGCCUUGUAUAUUAAUUGCAGACAGACGAUGAAAAACUGAGGUGGCAAGAGACUGUCAGGUGGGUGCUGCUGGAGAGGAACUACCAAUCAGGAGUGAGCAAAAAGGUAGCUUGCAGUCUCCCAACUAGGCCUUCACUCCCCGGCUGAAGCCCAUUUGUGUGAUGGAGAGAGACCACCCAAAAGAAGUUAAGCAACUUGAAAGCUUCAAUCCUCCUACCAAAGAAGAUGAACCUAGUUCUGGAGGAACAGUCCCUAAUAUUCCAGGGAAUGUCAGUUUAUAGCUUUCUAAGGCCAAAAGAGGGAACACUGCCAGAGACAACUGUAUUCCUGUCCUGAGAAUUUGGGGAAAAAGAGAGCAUUAGUUAAAGCUAACACAAAAUAUAAAAUAAAAUAAUAAUAAAUGGUGGAAAUACCAUGCCUUAAGUGUAAUAUCAAUAGAAUCUGUAUAACUGAAGUAAAAAUAAACACAUCAGGUGGUAUUCUAAGUUUCCUAGCAAAUGAGCAGAAAUUCUGUUCACACGAAGGGGAGGACAAUGCUUCUCUUUUCCCACUCCCCCAUUUCUGCUGCAGCUUCCCAUGCCAUAUGCCAUCUUGCUCUGCCAAUCCUUGGGAGCAAAUUUUGGGGGGGUGUCAUAGCAAAGGGGAGAUUGGUGAAUACAACCCUUAGAAUUCAACCACUGUAGUAUUUUCUGCUUUGCAUAACAUCUAAUAGGUGCAAGUACUUGCUUUUUCUUACUUAAAUUAAGUAAAAAUAAACUGUUAAAUUAGUAAUACUUAAAACAAAUUUAGGUAUUCUACAUGUUGGUAAAGUGCAAGACUUUACCAACAUGUAAAAGUGCAAGACUUUUGUUCUUAUACUUUCUGUACGAAGUUACAUGCACACAAGUCCCAUCCAGAUUCAUGGGACUUGCAUAUAUCUAUGAGAAGGAUUAUUACACCUCUAAUCUAAUGUGAUCUCCUUUCUAUUCAAGUACUUACACACACAAACCUUUCUUUAGUAUAAAUGCAAGUAUAACAUGCAGAACAUUGUUAAAAAGUGGAUGUUCCCCAAAAUUUCCAUACAUUUUACUUAAAGCUGAAAGUUUAACAAUUUACAAACAUUCAAGUUGUCAAACUGCAUUUCAGAAAUGUAUUUACCUUCUACUAAAUUUCACUACUGUAUUUACUUUUAUAAGGGAUAAGUUGCCCUUCAGAAGUUCAAUACACAACUAAGCAUUAUACACAGUAGGCAUCUUAAUGUUUUAUUCAUUGCAUUCUGCAUACAGAUAAGCUUCGCUGAUAUUUAAUUCACUGUAGCAUUCUGUAGGUGGUGUGACAAGAGUACAUGAAUUAUAAACAACCAACUUAAAAAAGUAUAUAUAUUCAGCUGAUAGAGCAUCACAGUUACUGUAAAAAAUGAAAUCACAAUGGAAGCUAAGGCCUAUUUUUUAAAAAAGUUUUCCAAUUAGCUCACUUUACAGUUUUAAAGAGAUUAGAAACUAAACUCCAGUACCGCAAAAAAUAAACAAGUCAAUGGUAAUUUCUAGCAACCAUUAUUCAAGUAAUGCAGAAAAAAAUAUGUUGUGGAAAAUUGGUGCUCUUCAUUAAAAGAUGUAUAUCUAUUUACACUAUAUUAAAAUCCUUAAAGUUAGAGUGCAAUGUAAAAAUAAUCUGUAAAACAUCAUUUAAUAUAAAAUGCCACUUAAAUGUUUAUAUGUGGGACUAAAUACACUCAUAAGAUGCUCAAAUACUCAUUACACACACAAAAGCACAAUCCUAAGCAUAGUUAUUGAGAAACAAGUCCCACUAACUUCAGCUCCCUAGUAACUGUGCUCAGGAUUGGAGCCUAAGGCUACAAUCCAUCUCACUGAUCUCAAUGGGACUUAGUAAGCACAAUUGUGCCUGGGACUGCAGUCUAAGCUGUACAUAUGAGGAACACACAAAAUAUAUCAAAAGUCAGUAUGAAGGAUGUAACAGUCAAAUGGACAAUUGUUGAGCACUGUUCACAUUACUGUAAAAUGGACUGAAUUCACAACAUUAACCAUUUUCCUUGGCUUGAAAGUUUAUAAAAGCAAGCUAUAAGGGACUACUCCUUUAGCCAACAAAAAUGAACCAAACUGCUAUGUAUGUAGUAAUUCCAUGUAGGCCUGCUUUUUAUACCAUGUAUAUCAUUAAGAUUAUAAGGCUGUUUAACCCUGCAAAUACCAUGUAUAUCUGAUGUUCCUCCUGUUUUCAAUUAGCAACCCCUACCAACUGUUUUUAAAUGGGAAAGGGGUACAUGUAUGUGAAGCAAACAUGACAGGUACAAAAAUGUGUGCUGCUAAGAGUCUUGUGGGUAACAUUGACAGCACUUCAAUUCUGAUGUAAAGGUCACAGAAGGAACAACAAGUAGGUGACACAAAUGUUUACUUAGAUGUUAAUGAGGUUUGCAGCCUACAUACAUGAUCCACUGGGAACACAGUCCACUUGGUAGCUUCAAGUAACAGCAGAAAGUGUGAAAGCUGUUUGUGGUUAUGGGAUAUGCCUAUGGGACACAGGCAUACUUACGCAAUGCUGCAUACAAAAAGAGUACCAAGAUGAACACUGCCUUGGUGGAUCAUGCCCUAGGCCAACUAAAAGAGCAGCAUUUUAACAACUUAUGGAUAAACUAAAUUUCAGGUUGUUACAAAUAGUUGUCUAAAACAACCUGGAAACAAAUUCUGGGAACCUAUCUGUAUAGGUAGAAGAGUUUAACACCUCAUUUAACUAAAAUUACACUAGUUUACAAAGAGACAGAAUUCUAAAUGGAAAAACUAUGUCCACUCAGUUAAGACAAAUUCUUCAAAUGGAUAUGACUGAAAAAUUUAAGCCUACUUGCAAUAGAAAUAAGCUUUUUCUGUACAGUUUGAUGCUUUUGUCUAUACCAUCUAUAGUAGAAAAAUAAAUUCUUUAGCAACCUAGAAACAGUUUAUAAAAACUCUUGAAGAUUAAUUGUUUUUCUUAACAUGCCUAUGUUAAACUGAUGACUAUAAAUAAAAGCUAUUUCAACAACAGAUGUAAGGUAAAACAGGUUAAUGCUACUACUUUUACAGGACAAAAUCUUUAUUAUUUUUAUAUCCUGUGUGCUUUCAAUUGGAAUAGGGGUUGUUUUUUGGUUUUUGGGGUGUGUUUUUUUAGAAAAGAUAAUUACUUGCAAGAAUAUAACACAAAUAUCAAGAUAAUUUAUAAUAUACAAAUACUUCAACAGCAGCUUGGGUUAUGGUAUUUUAACUAGAAUUGUAAUCCAUGUCAUUAGAAGUACAAUACCUAGGACAUAACAAUUGAAAAAGGCAAUUUUUAUUUUAGAGAAAGCUCUUAAGAACCUUAAUUCUUAAUCUUUGCAAAUCAAGCUAUUAAGAAUGUUAAUAAUUAAAAAUGUUCUACUUGCUAUAAUAGGUUAAAAAAAGUAUGAAGAUUACAAUCAUGAUCAUAAAGUUUUUUAAUCUACUCAAGAUAUCCCAGCAGCUGAAUAAACCAGUUUCUUUUUAAAAAAAGAAAGAUAUUUUGAAUAUUGGGGUGGGGGGGAGAGAAAGCAAGGGAAAUUCAAAUAUUGUUAGGCUCCACCCAAAUCUGAUUCACAAUUUUAGCCUUCUAGCACAUUUAACAAAGAUUAACCAAGAAUGGUUUAAAAUUAAGCAGCAUUCUUUUACAGCAAAACUUGUACCAAUGUAAAAGAAAAAUUUUUUUUUAAAUGGUGCAAACACAAUCAUUUUGAAUUUUAGUACAAUAGAGCACAGAAAAAAACCCACAUGAAUACAAAUGUCCUUUUAUGUACACAUUAAGAUGCUCAGUACCCAAAGUAUUUAUUGCUAUGUAUUAGCAAUGCUUUUUUUAUACUGUAAAGGGCCACAGAAAAAUAUAUCAUGUGUUAAAUUUAAGUCAUAGAUUGUUUGGUUUAGAUAGUUUACGCUACAACAAAAUUCUCAUUUAUGAAAAGUUAUAUAACCUUAUAUGAAAAUGUCAAACUAUUUUCUACAUACUAGAUGAAUUCCCCAGUGGGGAAAAAAUUAAGAUAUCUAAAAUAUAUUAGAUUAGGUUUACAAGACCAUCAAUGAUCUUUCAAACAUGCAACUGUUUACAGAAUUAACAGUAUUACAAAUUGUUUCAUUCUUGAAUGCAAAGUAAGGGGAAAGUAGAUAAGAGCAACAUUUUUGACAAUGGUUAAAGUCACUUUUACAAUAAGCAUGUCCUUGGUAUUGUGCUGUAAGAAAAAAUAAUUUGAUUAAUCCCUCAAACAAAAAUGUCCACAAGUUUAUUUAAGAGAAAUGGAAGGUGGGGAAUUGUAUUUAUAACAGUGCAGUUUAUGUUCUCUCUGAAACUAAGCAUACUGUAGCAUAAGUAGCUUGGAGUUUACAAAUAAGAUACAGUUGUUUUUCAGCUGCCCACAGCAAAUGACUAAAUUGGAAUGAAAUUGCCAGAAAAAAAGGAUAUUAAAUAACAAAAACAGCCCUAAAGCAGGCUGUAAGCAUUGAAUGUUACAUAAAAUGAUUUAUUUAAUCAUUACAUUUCUAUAGAAAAAUUUUAUUCACAAUAUAUUGUGACAAAUUGUCACAGGAAUGAUAGUGAUUGCAAUAAAUGUUCAUGCAACAGCAGCUUUGCACUUUAGUUUUGUUUAAAAAAAUUAAACCUCUCCAGUCAUGCUAAUAACAUAAUUUUAACCUGCAGUAUUUAUGGUGUAUAGUAUGACUACAACAAAAAUGUCCUUGUUUGGAUCCAAAUUCUUUUGUAAGCAUGAAAGUUGUUUUUGUAUCUUGAAACAUGCAUGUCUAGUUUUCCUUUUUUAUCCAAUGCCAGGCUGCCAGCAAUCAUCUUCCUUUUACUAAGUUUUAUUUAAAUAAUACCAAGAGGAUCUGCUUGCAACUGUGGUUGUAUCAGCUGAGGUUGUAGAGGUGGUGGUAAUUGUAAUGGUACAAUUGGAUCUAUCAUCUGCACUGGGUUGAGAGGUGGAGGCUGAUGUGUCACAUUGUCAGAAGUUUCUAAAAUUUCUCCACUACAGAAGAAGAACUGGCACUGUUGAAUAAAUGUCUCUAUUACUGAUUGGAGAAUCUUGGUCGUUGAUAGAAACUCUCGGUUUUCAAAAUCAGGUCUCAUCAAAGUUGGCCAGAAACAGAUAGAUAAGUUAUCUGCAGUCAUAAAAUUGGUUCUAUUUUGCUGGCUAACCCUAAAAUGAGAAUAAAAAUGCUGAAGAGUUAAUAUUUGAUAAACAGUUUUUGAAGAUAAAAUAUAAGGUUGAAGAAGUCAAUCAUGUUACCAAAAGAAAGUAUUAAUUGCAACAGUAACUCUACUGCAGAGUUUACAAAGCAAAGACAUUGAGAUCUGGCCCACUGUUCUAACAUUUGAAGUUGAACAGGCAGCAUAUUGGGUUUGAUCCACAGAUGUGCAAGUAGAACUCUGCUCAGACAACAAGGUUUCUCACUUCACCCUCCUGCCUCAAAAAAGAGGUGCUCUUGAGAGUCAUGGAGCCCUUCAGAAUGGUAUGCAAUGGGGUGCAACAGUUACGAGAAGGAGAGGCACCUAGCAAACAGAAGCUUCACACUCAGGCAAAGGACAUUUUGGAUCAAAACUUAAGGCAUCUUUAUGUGAAAAAUCAGAUAUUAAGAUCUUUCUGUGUUACAGGAAAAGAGCUACAGGGUGAAUUCUUUUGAGCACCUUCAUCCUUGGAUAAAUUAAGAAAAGAAGAUUACUGAAUCCAUGAAGCAAAAGAAUUUCAAUCAAUUAAAAAGAUUUUUUUACAUGCAAUCGGAUCAAUAAUUCAAAAAUGGCAUAAUGCCCAAGAGAAGCAGAAGAUCUUUCUCAGAUUCAAAUUUACUUUGUAUGGUGAUUAUUCAAUAAAAUGAAUAAUGUUUUAAGUUGAGAUCCUACAAAUUUAAAACUAUUCUUUUAGUUUCAUUAUACAGACACAUCAAUAAAAAAAUUCGAUUACAUAUAUUUAAUUCCUUGAACUUUCGAAGUCUAAUUUAUGCAAAAUGACUUUGCCCGGUUAAUGAUGGACCUCACCUUCUAAGAACAUAAAAACAUAACAGCAGCCCUGUUGGAUCAGGCUAUUGGAUCCUAAAUUUCCUGGCAAUCAAUUUCAUGGGAUGACCCCUGGUCUUGGACACUGAACAUCAGAACGAUUUAAGCUCCAUCCCGGAAACCAUAAGAGGACGCUUUGGUGACUUCAACCAGGAACCUGCUAGCUAUCUAUUGUCCCUCUCUUUACCAAGCCAUCACAGGGUUUUUCUCCGAGCAAGAUAUGAUGCCUUACCAUCAGCAGUCUUAUCGGGAAGGUUUCUGAAAACCCCUCUGGCCAGUCAGUUAUGCCCCUGUGGCUCAGGUGAGGUCGAAUCUGUCCACCAUGUGCUGUGGUUUUGUCCUUUUUAUAAUGAUAGCCGGUGCAGUCCUAUUUCUCCCUUACUAUCACGCUUUCCCAGACGGACUGCUGAAUUUUACGCCAUACUCCUUCUGCCACCUACAAGGUUGCCAAAUUUUGUGCAGCUGCUGUUAAGAUCCAUCAACAGCUAACCUCUAGUCCUCCUUUUUAGAAGUUGUUACAUAAGGCUUCUAUAUUGGUGUAUUCUGUAUGAUUUACUUCUUACCUGAAUGCAGUAUCAUCUGUUUGUAUAUAUAA